rnacentral:misc_RNA from 1 species
AGUCGUAACAAGGUUUCCGUUGGAAGGAUCAUUAUCACGUAUCCACGUAGAAACCAAUUCGUGAACUGUUUUACACCUCUGGGUAUGACCGCUGUCAUUUGGACACAUGAGUUCAUUGUAUGAUUAUGGACUCGUCCUUGGCAAUUAAGGUUGUUUCUUCAGAGCGUAUUAAUCAUACUUUAAUUCUAUUAACCACUUGAACACUAUGAAAAUUUAUCUUUGUUUGAACUGAUUUGUUUCUUGCGCAGUGUGUGUGUAAUAGCAUCACACUGAGAAGAAAUCGCUUUACGAAACAAAAAAGAACAACUCUUAACAACGGAUAUCUUGGUUCUC